UGAAUGAGAGAAAUGUAAGAACUAAGAAUUACGGUGCAUGAAAAAAUAGAAUUGUUAUAUUAUUUUUGUCAAUUUUACUGUGCAUGUCACAUUUAAAAAUGAGAACAAACAAAUACAACACAACCCAUUGCAAUGCACACAGUGCUCUUUCUCUUUACUUGAUUUGAUUUUAUUCUUUUCUUUUGGGUAAGGACCACAACUGCACAUGAUCUCAUUACGUUCAAUUACAGGAAAGAAUAUCAUAUCAUGUUACACUUAAAAUCAUAACGGCCUCUGAAAUGCUCGAAGAGCAAAUUAAAAUCAUAUCUCUAAACAAACUUUGUUUAAAUACAACUUUAUUUUGAAUUAUAUUAAAAUACAACUUAGUUUUAUAUUUUCAAUAUUUAGGGUCCUCUAAUAUGGACCAAGUAAAAAGGACCACUAGUGAAUCCUUGAAAUGACAUAUUAUAGCAAAUUAAUUUUUUUUGUUUAUUGUGAAAUUAACAUAAAUGCAAAUGGGAGGGGUUAAAAUUUACAAAGUAUAUUUUGUGGCUUUACUCAAACUACGUUUUCAAAUUGUACAACAGUGCCUUUUUUUUAUAAUUUCUUUUUCAAAAGCUUUUUGAAUUAAAAUAAUUAAAAAAGAAACUACCAUUUCAAUUGUUGUUACCAUUGCACUACAAUGGUUAAACUAUAUGAAUAUGAUUGAUGCAUAUAAUUUAUUUUAUCUCUUUUUAACUUUUUCUUUUACACAUUUUAUUUACCAAUGAACCCCAACCACGAUAAUUUUUGGUCCAAUUUUAUGUAAAAUUAUGACAAUUUUCUAUGUAUCACAAGUCAACAAAAUGUCUCAUCUUUUAAUUAAAAAUGCAUCCAAUAACCCAAUUCUCAAAUUUUCAAAUUAUAUUUCUAUCUCACACUUUGAAAAUUACUCAUAUCAAUACCAACAAUUUUCAACUCAAUCAAAUAAUCCUAAUAUGCCUUAUGGGGUUCAAUUGGAUAGUAGUGGUGUACAAUUAAAUGAUCAAGAGCUUGCAACAUCAUAAUUUUGCACUCAAAGUGACUUAGAAACUAGUAUUAUCCUGGUGAAGAAGUCAGAACUACAUCGGUUAUGAAUAUGUCGAAAAUAAAAUUUCAAUAAAAAAAAGAUAAACUUCUCAUUUAAUCAUGACUCAAUAUUUUAAAGGAUCAAUUGUAAGGAUUGAUAAAAAAAGAAGAUAGUUUUUGAAAGAGAAUUGAUUAAAAUUAUAACAACCACUCUCUCAAAAAAAAAAUUAUAACGACCAUCGCCUCAAGAAUAUAUAUAUAUAUAUAUUUCUUAUAACUUACUUGUGUCGUGUAGUUUUCUUAUAAUGAGGAUACACUAUUUUAGCCAGCAAACCUUCAGCAACUAUAGAGUAUAGACAUCGUAAAUGGUCUACACAUAUAGGAAUAUGCUUCAUAUAUUCAUAGCCACGACAUUCCUACUUCAUUGGUUCCUUGUUUGGCCAACAUUCUGGUUCCUAUUAUCUUCUAACCAAUGGUGAGUUUAUGCAUUAAUAGAAUAAGCUAAUAACAAAAGGUUUGCUUCAAUUUGUAUACAAAAAGUUCCACUUAAC
rnacentral:lncRNA from 1 species